CAUUCACCUUCGUAAGACUCGCUGAUAAGUGACUUGAUCUUUCCACAUUUUGUAGUCAGAACCCUCAAACAGCCCUCGUUUGCAUAAGUGUUUCCAUCUGUUCCGCAAACUGGAGCCCAGAGUUCGCUACAGGCACAUUGAGAGAAAGGAAUAGUAUAGAAUUGUAUAUACUAUACCUCCUUGGACGCCCGACCAGCUGUUUAUCAGAAUACAACAGACAACUGUGAAAUGUAAAGCAGUGCUGACAAGCUUCUAACGGCCGAAGAAGAAAUUCAGUAUCGGAAAAUGAAGAAAAUGUUUAAUUGCGCUAAUUGUAUAUACCAUUGGGAUAAUUAAGUGCAUUUUUUCGUUGCGAGAUGGGCUGCUAAAUAUUAGCAAAUGAAGAGCUGUCAGCUAAAAUCUUGAAUGAAAAAAGUGCGUGAGAAUAAACGAACUGUAUAAGACUAG